rnacentral:ncRNA from 1 species
GGGUAAGGACGACCUUGCCCGGCUUUUUUCUUGCGGGGACGACCCCG